AACGAACGCUGGCGGCAUGCCUAACACAUGCAAGUCGAACGAUACCUUCGGGUCUAGUGGCGCACGGGUGCGUAACGCGUGGGAACCUGCCUUUAGGUUCGGAAUAACUCAGAGAAAUUUGAGCUAAUACCGGAUGAUGUCUUCGGACCAAAGAUUUAUCGCCUUUAGAUGGGCCCGCGUUGGAUUAGCUAGUUGGUGGGGUAAAGGCCUACCAAGGCGACGAUCCAUAGCUGGUCUGAGAGGAUGAUCAGCCACACUGGGACUGAGACACGGCCCAGACUCCUACGGGAGGCAGCAGUGGGGAAUAUUGGACAAUGGGCGAAAGCAUGAUCCAGCAAUGCCGCGUGAGUGAUGAAGGCAUUAGGGUUGUAAAGCUCUUUUACCCGAGAUGAUAAUGACAGUAUCGGGAGAAUAAGCUCCGGCUAACUCCGUG
rnacentral:rRNA from 1 species